rnacentral:rRNA from 1 species
UAUUACAAUGAAGAGUUUGAUCCUGGCUCAGGAUGAACGCUAGCUACAGGCUUAACACAUGCAAGUCGAGGGGCAGCAUGGUCUUAGCUUGCUAAGACUGAUGGCGACCGGCGCACGGGUGAGUAACACGUAUCCAACCUGCCGUCUACUCUUGGACAGCCUUCUGAAAGGAAGAUUAAUACAAGAUGGCAUCAUGAGUCCGCAUGUUCACAUGAUUAAAGGUAUUCCGGUAGACGAUGGGGAUGCGUUCCAUUAGAUAGUAGGCGGGGUAACGGCCCACCUAGUCUUCGAUGGAUAGGGGUUCUGAGAGGAAGGUCCCCCACAUUGGAACUGAGACACGGUCCAAACUCCUACGGGAGGCAGCAGUGAGGAAUAUUGGUCAAUGGGCGAGAGCCUGAACCAGCCAAGUAGCGUGAAGGAUGACUGCCCUAUGGGUUGUAAACUUCUUUUAUAAAGGAAUAAAGUCGGGUAUGGAUACCCGUUUGCAUGUACUUUAUGAAUAAGGAUCGGCUAACUCCGUGCCAGCAGCCGCGGUAAUACGGAGGAUCCGAGCGUUAUCCGGAUUUAUUGGGUUUAAAGGGAGCGUAGAUGGAUGUUUAAGUCAGUUGUGAAAGUUUGCGGCUCAACCGUAAAAUUGCAGUUGAUACUGGAUAUCUUGAGUGCAGUUGAGGCAGGCGGAAUUCGUGGUGUAGCGGUGAAAUGCUUAGAUAUCACGAAGAACUCCGAUUGCGAAGGCAGCCUGCUAAGCUGCAACUGACAUUGAGGCUCGAAAGUGUGGGUAUCAAACAGGAUUAGAUACCCUGGUAGUCCACACGGUAAACGAUGAAUACUCGCUGUUUGCGAUAUACGGCAAGCGGCCAAGCGAAAGCGUUAAGUAUUCCACCUGGGGAGUACGCCGGCAACGGUGAAACUCAAAGGAAUUGACGGGGGCCCGCACAAGCGGAGGAACAUGUGGUUUAAUUCGAUGAUACGCGAGGAACCUUACCCGGGCUUAAAUUGCAGAUGAAUUACGGUGAAAGCCGUAAGCCGCAAGGCAUCUGUGAAGGUGCUGCAUGGUUGUCGUCAGCUCGUGCCGUGAGGUGUCGGCUUAAGUGCCAUAACGAGCGCAACCCUUGUUGUCAGUUACUAACAGGUUCCGCUGAGGACUCUGACAAGACUGCCAUCGUAAGAUGUGAGGAAGGUGGGGAUGACGUCAAAUCAGCACGGCCCUUACGUCCGGGGCUACACACGUGUUACAAUGGGGGGUACAGAGGGCCGCUACCACGCGAGUGGAUGCCAAUCCCAAAAACCUCUCUCAGUUCGGACUGGAGUCUGCAACCCGACUCCACGAAGCUGGAUUCGCUAGUAAUCGCGCAUCAGCCACGGCGCGGUGAAUACGUUCCCGGGCCUUGUACACACCGCCCGUCAAGCCAUGGGAGCCGGGGGUACCUGAAGUGCGUAACCGCGAGGAGCGCCCUAGGGUAAAACUGGUGACUGGGGCUAAGUCGUAACAAGGUAGCCGUACCGGAAGGUGCGGCUGGAACACCUCCUUUCU